rnacentral:rRNA from 1 species
CCACUGGGAUACUUAGUACGGCGAGUGAAGCGGUAAAAGCUCAAAUUUGAAAUCUGGUACUUUCAGUGCCCGAGUUGUAAUUUGUAGAAUUUGUCUUUGAUUAGGUCCUUGUCUAUGUUCCUUGGAACAGGACGUCAUAGAGGGUGAGAAUCCCGUUUGGCGAGGAUACCUUUUCUCUGUAAGACUUUUUCGAAGAGUCGAGUUGUUUGGGAAUGCAGCUCAAAGUGGGUGGUAAAUUCCAUCUAAAGCUAAAUAUUGGCGAGAGACCGAUAGCGAACAAGUACAGUGAUGGAAAGAUGAAAAGAACUUUGAAAAGAGAGUGAAAAAGUACGUGAAAUUGUUGAAAGGGAAGGGCAUUUGAUCAGACAUGGUGUUUUUUGCAUGCACUCGCCUCUCGUGGGCUUGGGCCUCUCAAAAAUUUCACUGGGCCAACAUCAAUUCUGGCAGCAGGAUAAAUCAUUAAGAAUGUAGCUACUUCGGUAGUGUUAUAGCUUUUUGGAAUACUGUUAGCCGGGAUUGAGGACUGCGCUUCGGCAAGGAUGUUGGCAUAAUGGUUAAAUGCCGCCCGUCUUGAACCCACGGGACCA